GACGAACGCUGGCGGCGUGCCUAAUACAUGCAAGUUGAGCGAUGAAGAUUGGUGCUUGCUCCAAUUUGAAGAGCAGCGAACGGGUGAGUAACGCGUGGGGAAUCUGCCUUUGAGCGGGGGACAACAUUUGGAAACGAAUGCUAAUACCGCAUAAUAACUUUAAACAUAAGUUUUAAGUUUGAAAGAUGCAAUUGCAUCACUCAAAGAUGAUCCCGCGUUGUAUUAGCUAGUUGGUGAGGUAAAGGCUCACCAAGGCGAUGAUACAUAGCCGACCUGAGAGGGGUAUCGGCCACAUUGGGACUGAGACACGGCCCAAACCCCUAAGGGAGGCCGCAGUAGGGGAUCUUCGGCAAUGGACGAAAGUCUGAACGAGCAACGCCGCGGGAGUGAAGAAGGUUUUCGGGUCGGAAAACUCUGUUGGUAGAGAAGAACGUUGGUGAGAGUGGAAAGCUCAUCAAGUGACGGUAACUACACAGAAAGGGACGGCUAACUACGUG
rnacentral:rRNA from 1 species